rnacentral:rRNA from 1 species
CGUGUAGGCGGCCCGGUAAGUCCGCUGUGAAAGUCGGGGGCUCAACCCCUCGAAUGCCGGUGGAUACUGUCGGGCUAGAGUACGGAAGAGGCGAGUGGAAUUCCUGGUGUAGCGGUGAAAUGCGCAGAUAUCAGGAGGAACACCAAUUGCGAAGGCAGCUCGCUGGGACGUUACUGACGCUGAGACGCGAAAGCGUGGGAGCAAACA